UACAGAGGUGGCAAGCGUUGUUCGGAAUUACUGGGCGUAAAGGGCGCGUAGGCGGCCUUCUAAGUCAGACGUGAAAUCCCCCGGCUUAACCUGGGAACUGCGUCUGAUACUGGAGGGCUUGAGUAUGGGAGAGGGAUGUAGAAUUCCAGGUGUAGCGGUGAAAUGCGUAGAUAUCUGGAGGAAUACCGGUGGCGAAGGCGGCAUCCUGGACCAUUACUGACGCUGAGGCGGCGAAAAGCUAGGGGAGCAAACGGG
rnacentral:rRNA from 1 species